AAGUAUGAUAUGACUGAGUGGCGGACGGGUGAGUAACGCGUGAGUAACCUGCCCUUCAGAGGGGGAUAGCGUUUGGAAACGAACGGUAAUACCGCAUAAUGUAUUCUUGACCGCAUGAUCGAAAUACCAAAGAUUUAUCGCUGAAGGAUGGACUCGCGUCUGAUUAGGUAGUUGGUGGGGUAACGGCCUACCAAGCCGACGAUCAGUAGCCGGACUGAGAGGUUGAUCGGCCACAUUGGGACUGAGACACGGCCCAGACUCCUACGGGAGGCAGCAGUGGGGAAUAUUGCACAAUGGGCGCAAGCCUGAUGCAGCAACGCCGCGUGAAGGAAGACGGUUUUCGGAUUGUAAACUUCUGUUCUUAGUGAAGAAUAAUGACGGUAGCUAAGGAGCAAGCCACGGCUAACUACGUGCCAGCAGCCGCGGUAAUACGUAGGUGGCAAGCGUUGUCCGGAAUUACUGGGUGUAAAGGGAGCGCAGGCGGGUGAUCAAGUCAGCUGUGAAAACUACGGGCUUAACCCGUAGACUGCAGUUGAAACUGUUCAUCUUGAGUGAAGUAGAGGUUGGCGGAAUUCCGAGUGUAGCGGUGAAAUGCGUAGAUAUUCGGAGGAACACCGGUGGCGAAGGCGGCCAAC
rnacentral:rRNA from 1 species